rnacentral:rRNA from 1 species
AGCAGCCGCGGUAAUUCCAGCUCCAAUAGCGUAUAUUAAAGUUGUUGCAGUUAAAAAGCUCGUAGUUGAACUUCGGGAUCAAUUAGUUGGUCAUGCCUUGGUAUGUACUGAUUUUAUUGGUUCUCACCUUCUAAAGAACUAUAAUGUCAUUUAUUUGAUGUUAUAGGGAAUUAGGACUGUUACCUUGAAAAAAUUAGAGUGUUUAAAGCAGGCUCACGCUUGAAUACAUUAGCAUGGAAUAAUGAAAUAGGACAUCGCAUUCUAUUUUGUUGGUUUCUAGGAUCGAUGUAAUGAUUAAUAGGGAUAGUUGGGGGCAUUAGUAUUCAAUUGUCAGAGGUGAAAUUCUUGGAUUUAUUGAAGACUAACUACUGCGAAAGCAUUUGCCAAGGAUGUUUUCAUUAAUCAAGAACGAAAGUUAGGGGAUCGAAGACGAUCAGAUACCGUCGUAGUCUUAACCAUAAACUAUGCCGACUAGGGAUCGGAUGAUGUUGUAUUUUU